GACUGCAGGCUGCGACAGCUUCCACAGAGCGAGCAUUGUGGAUGGUAUGUCGGAGAGCGUGCCUACGUCAUUUAUCGUUGUCAACGAUUCGUUGAUGCUUUCGAUCCCGUUAUCCUAGCACAGCAGAGUGGGUGAUGUGAGCGUACAAGUGUGUGGACUCCAUGUUGUUUUUGUGUUAGUGCAAGUGCACUGGCCUCACACAGCCGCGCUCUGAAUGCGACGAUUUUUAGUUUGUGCGCGGUCGUUCUCCAGAUCGGUCUGUUGUUAGUGCUUCACUAGUGCAAAAUCGUAUUAUGUGAAGUGUAAUUAAAUAACGGGUGCUUUAUGCAUUUUAUACGUGUCGCGUGUGUUAAAAUAAUUGCAAAGAUCAGUCUACUAAAUGCUUUUUUGGAGUUACAUGUAUUCAAAUAAAGGGCGAAAAGAAAUGCCCAGCACUUACGCUCAGCUGACAGCAGACUUUCGUCAAGUUGACUCGCCCGCCCAAAAAACGACGGCAACACGAAGCUGAGCCGAGCGGCCGAGAGAGUUCCGUCACGAACGAGCAAGACGAGUAAAAAUUACUUACUGGAGCGAUGCUAGCGACGAUGACGAGAAAAAUCAGCAGUUGAGCAGUUCCAUUGAUAACGCGCUACGAAGUGGAUCUCUGCCCCAAGCGGGCAAAAGCAGCGCACACGAAGCCGUCGCCGUGGCAAACCAACAAAAACAACAACAACAAAAUAACACGCAAAACAACAAGAAUAACUGUGCGAAACUAACGGCAACUGAAUACUCUGAACGUAAGGCACAGGCGGCUGCUGUUGCUGCUGCUGCUGCCUCUUCUUCUUCUUGAGUUGCAUUUUUUAUAAAUUUCGGCGGCUGCUCGUUCGACGUUUCGUUAAGCGUCGCCCGUCGUCAGUCAUUUUGUAACCUUCUGUUUGUCAUUACGCGGCGCGUGUGUUUAAUUAUUGUCGUGUGUGUGUGUGUGUGUGUGUGUGGCUUAAGGCAGCCACAAGGAAUGUGCAAGAAGAACGGUAAAUUAAAUGAAUGCCAGCAGCAGCGCGGCAAAUGCAACUCUGCAGCAAAGUCAUUCACAAUAUUUGACUGCUUGAAAACAAUUCGUUCGUUUGUCAAAUGUGAGAAUUCGAUUUUAAUUGCUGCAACUAUUUGAGCUUAAGCUAACAGGCAGCUGAGGAGCACUCAUGUAAACACAAUCUGUUGGCAGCAUUUAAGUAAAUGGCAGCUGGGAAAAUCGAAAUCGUAUAAGGAAAAACUCCGACAACAAAAAAAAUAGAGAAAGGAAGACGAAUAAACUUUCCGCUUAACGACAUAAAGUGGAAGUUAGUGCCAUCAGGAAAUGAAUAUGCAAAAAAGGGCAAAAAGGAUAUGAAAAAUGCAAAUAACCAAAUCGAGUUGCAUGCGGAAUUCACAAUUCUGCUAACCUCAAACGUAUUUACACGAGGCAACCCAAUACGAAUACGUAUGUGAGGCACUGUACAGCGAACGGCUAAUUGUGGCUGUGGCAAUUGGAGCAAAGCACAAAACGGAAUUUGACAAAAGCGAUUGCAAAAAUCAUAUGAAAAUAUGCAUUAAAUGCAACCGCAAAAUAGAAAAGCGACCAGCAAAAAAAU